rnacentral:rRNA from 1 species
UGGCGGCGUGGUUAAGACAUGCAAGUCGAACGAGAGAAUUGCUAGCUUGCUAAUAAUUCUCUAGUGGCGCACGGGUGAGUAACACGUGAGUAACCUGCCCCCGAGAGCGGGAUAGCCCUGGGAAACUGGGAUUAAUACCGCAUAGUAUCGAAAGAUUAAAGCAGCAAUGCGCUUGGGGAUGGGCUCGCGGCCUAUUAGUUAGUUGGUGAGGUAACGGCUCACCAAGGCGAUGACGGGUAGCCGGUCUGAGAGGAUGUCCGGCCACACUGGAACUGAGACACGGUCCAGACACCUACGGGUGGCAGCAGUCGAGAAUCAUUCACAAUGGGGGAAACCCUGAUGGUGCGACGCCGCGUGGGGGAAUGAAGGUCUUCGGAUUGUAAACCCCUGUCAUGUGGGAGCAAAUUAAAAAGAUAGUACCACAAGAGGAAGAGACGGCUAACUCUGUGCCAGCAGCCGCGGUAAUACAGAGGUCUCAAGCGUUGUUCGGGAUCACUGGGCGUAAAGCGUGCGUAGGCUGUUUCGUAAGUCGUGUGUGAAAGGCGCGGGCUCAACCCGCGGACGGCACAUGAUACUGCGAGACUAGAGUAAUGGAGGGGGAACCGGAAUUCACGGUGUAGCA